GAUGAACGCUGGCGGCGUGCCUAAUACAUGCAAGUCGAGCGAACAGACGAGGAGCUUGCUCCUCUGACGUUAGCGGCGGACGGGUGAGUAACACGUGGAUAACCUACCUAUAAGACUGGGAUAACUCCGGGAAACCGGAGCUAAUACCGGAUAAUAUAUUGAACCGCAUGGUUCAAUAGUGAAAGACGGUUUUGCUGUCACUUAUAGAUGGAUCCGCGCCGCAUUAGCUAGUUGGUAAGGUAACGGCUUACCAAGGCGACGAUGCGUAGCCGACCUGAGAGGGUGAUCGGCCACACUGGAACUGAGACACGGUCCAGACUCCUACGGGAGGCAGCAGUAGGGAAUCUUCCGCAAUGGGCGAAAGCCUGACGGAGCAACGCCGCGUGAGUGAUGAAGGUCUUCGGAUCGUAAAACUCUGUUAUUGGGGAAGAACAAAUGUGUAAGUAACUAUGCACGUCUUGACGGUACCUAAUCAGAAAGCCACGGCUAACUACGUG
rnacentral:rRNA from 1 species